rnacentral:rRNA from 1 species
AUUGAACGCUGGCGGCAGGCUUAACACAUGCAAGUCGAGCGGAGCGAGGGUGCUUGCACCUUAGCUUAGCGGCGGACGGGUGAGUAAUGCUUAGGAAUCUGCCUAUUAGUGGGGGGCAACAUUCCGAAAGGAAUGCUAAUACCGCAUACGCCCUACGGGGGAAAGCAGGGGAUCUUCGGACCUUGCGCUAAUAGAUGAGCCUAAGUCGGAUUAGCUAGUUGGUGGGGUAAAGGCCUACCAAGGCGACGAUCUGUAGCGGGUCUGAGAGGAUGAUCCGCCACACUGGGACUGGGACACGGCCCAGACUCCUACGGGAGGCAGCAGUGGGGAAUAUUGGACAAUGGGCGGAAGCCUGAUCCAGCCAUGCCGCGUGUGUGAAGAAGGCCUUUUGGUUGUAAAGCACUUUAAGCGAGGAGGAGGCUACUUAGAUUAAUACUCUGGGAUAGUGGACGUUACUCGCAGAAUAAGCACCGGCUAACUCUGUGCCAGCCGCCGCGGUAA